ensembl:misc_RNA Metazoa_SRP Metazoan signal recognition particle RNA
GCCGGGCGCGGUGGCUCACGCCUGUAAUCCCAGCACUUUGGGAGGCUGAGGCAGGUGGAUCACCUGAGGUCGGGAGUUCAAGACCAGCCUGACCAACAUGGAGAAACCCUGUCUCUA